rnacentral:lncRNA from 1 species
AAUUUUCCACAGUUUAUUGUGAUCCACACAGUCAAAGGCUUUGGCAUAUUGAAUUUGUACAAUAAUCCACAUGGACGCUGACCAAUGCAAACUACAUAUACUACUUCUAUUAAUACAGCGUGGAGUAUAUUGGGUAUGUGCCACCUGCUCUCAUUUUAUAUAAGAGCUAACAAAAAAUAAACCUCUAGUGUUUUACUUCCUUUCUGUUUUCAAACUAAUUCUCUUUCAUCCUAAAUUCCCUCCCAUGUUGACUUAGAACUUUCUCAAUAAGCUUAAAAUGGGAAAAUAUUACAGAAAGUUUUAAAAAGUUGAAAUGAUCUUGAGGCUCCCUUGGUCGCCCAGGGGUUAAGACUUCGCCUUCCAAUGCAGGGGGUACAGGUGAGCUAAGGCCAGAAAACCAAACAUAGAAUAGAAACAAUAUUGUAACAGAUUCAGAAAUUCAGCAAAAGACUUAAAAAAAAUCUUCAAAUAAAAAGAAGUUGAAAUGAUCUAAAACAGUCAUCCUAACAGCUCUUCCUUUUCUUGCGAUCCCUUCACUGUUUAGCCACAUACAAACACUUGUAUUUGACAAGGUUCUGCAUGUUUCCCACAUUUUGAAACCAUAACCCUUUUCCCAAGUUGCUACAAGUUCUCUGGUGUUCUUCAGAGACAAAGGAUCAGGUGUAAGUACCGCACAUAAUUCACUUAACCCGUCUUUCAAAAUCUCAAACAAGGCACAGAUAAACAUUUGUAACACAUUUUAUGGAACACAGUUUAUCUUCCUUUGUAUUAUUUUAAUUUCCAGAACCAGGUGCACUGGAACAAAGGAUGUGAAUACUCACAGGGUUCCAUGUGUUGCCAGACUGUUCUAUAUAUAUAUUUUAGCACAGGAAUGGACUUUUAAGCAUUUCAUCAGGGUGUUUUUCUUCUAUUCUAUCAGAGGCCUUCCUCACUCCCUGUCCUUCCAUAGAUCCAGUGCCCUCCUGUCUCUACUGGAAGCCGUGUGUCUGCCUGCUCCAGUGCAUCGAGCUAAUCCGGCUCUCCUCUUUAUCCCCAGACGCUGUCACCACACCUGCAUUUGAAAAAAGACGUCAUCCAGCAUUUGCUUUCUAGUCUAACUCUUUUAGCUUCAGUCAGUUUGAGACAUCUGCCUUCACGUCUGAUGCAAUGUGAUAAAACAGCAGGCAACUCUUACAGGAGGAUCAAUCAAUUAUGUUCAAUCAACUGUUUGCAUGAUUAGACCACGUUUACAAGGGGAGGG